rnacentral:rRNA from 1 species
CCUACGGGUGGCAGCAGUCGAGAAUCAUUCACAAUGGGGGAAACCCUGAUGGUGCGACGCAGCGUGGGGGAAUGAAGGUCUUCGGAUUGUAAACCCCUGUCAUGUGGGAGCAAAUUAAAAAGAUAGUACCACAAGAGGAAGAGACGGCUAACUCUGUGCCAGCAGCCGCGGUAAUACAGAGGUCUCAAGCGUUGUUCGGAAUCACUGGGCGUAAAGCGUGCGUAGGCUGUUUCGUAAGUCGUGUGUGAAAGGCCCGGGCUCAACCCGCGGACGGCAGAUGAUACUGCGAGACUAGAGUAAUGGAGAGGGAACCGGAAUUCGCGGUGUAGCAGUGAAAUGCGUAGAUAUCGAGAGGAACACUCGUGGCGAAGGCGGGUUCCUGGACAUUAACUGACGCUGAGGCACGAAGGCCAGGGGAGCGAAAGGGAUUAGAUACCCUUGUAGUC